GCCCGCGAGGGAGCCCUAGCACAGGUGCUGCAUGGCCGUCGUCAGCUCGUGCCGUGAGGUGUUGGGUUAAGUCCCGCAACGAGCGCAACCCCCGCCGUUAGUUGCCAGCGGUUCGGCCGGGCACUCUAACGGGACUGCCCGCGAAAGCGGGAGGAAGGAGGGGACGACGUCUGGUCAGCAUGGCCCUUACGGCCUGGGCGACACACGUGCUACAAUGCCCACUACAAAGCGAGGCCACCCGGCAACGGGGAGCUAAUCGCAAAAAGGUGGGCCCAGUUCGGAUUGGGGUCUGCAACCCGACCCCAUGAAGCCGGAAUCGCUAGUAAUCGCGGAUCAGCCAUGCCGCGGUGAACACGUUCCCGGGCCUU
rnacentral:rRNA from 1 species